GACGAACCGUGCGAACGUUAUUCGGAAUCACUGGGCUUAAAGCGCGUGUAGGCGGGACGGCACGUCGGUCGUUGAAAUCCCCCGGCUCAACCGGGGAACGGGCGCCGAUACGACCGUCCUGGAGGGACGUAGGGGGACCUGGAACUUCCGGUGGAGCGGUGAAAUGCGUUGAGAUCGGAAAGAACACCAACGGCGAAAGCACUCUGCUGGGCCGACACUGGCACUGAGAGACGAAAGCUAGGGGAGCGAAUGGG
rnacentral:rRNA from 1 species